AGGUUAACCGUAUAGGGGAGCCGUAGGGAAACCGAGUCUUAACUGGGCGAAUGAGUUGCAGGGUAUAGACCCGAAACCCGGUGAUCUAUCCAUGGGCAGGUUGAAGGUUGGGUAACACUAACUGGAGGACCGAACCGACUAAUGUUGAAAAAUUAGCGGAUGACUUGUGGAUGGGGGUGAAAGGCCAAUCAAACCGGGAGAUAGCUGGUUCUCCCCGAAAGCUAUUUAGGUAGCGCCUCGUGAACUCAUCUUCGGGGGUAGAGCACUGUUUCGACUAGGGGGUCAUCCCGACUUACCAACUCGAUGCAAACUGCGAAUACCGAAGAAUGUUAUCACGGGAGACACACGGCGGGUGCUAACGUCCGUCGUGAAGAGGGAAACAACCCAGACCGCCAGCUAAGGUCCCAAAGUCAUGGUUAAGUGGGAAACGAAGUGGGAAGGCUCAGACAGCCAGGAUGUUGGCUUAGAAGCAGCCAUCAUUUAAAGAAAGCGUAAUAGCUCACUGGUCGAGUCGGCCCGCGCGGAAGAUGUAACGGGGCUAAACCAUGCACCGAAGCUGCGGCAGCGACACAUAGUGUUGUUGGGUAGGGGAGCGUUCUGUAAGCCUGCGAAGGUGUACUGUGAGGUAUGCUGGAGGUAUCAGAAGUGCGAAUGCUGACAUAAGUAACGAUAAUGCGGGUGAAAAACCCGCACGCCGGAAGACCAAGGGUUCCUGUCCAACGUUAAUCGGGGCAGGGUGAGUCGACCCCUAAGGCGAGGCUGAAAAGCGUAGUCGAUGGGAAACGGGUUAAUAUUCCCGUACUGGUGGUAACUGCGAUGGGGGAACGGAGAAGGCUAGGUUGUCCGGGCGACGGUCGUCCCGGUUCAAGCAGGUAGGCAGAGUGAUUAGGCAAAUCCGGUCACUUAAUGCUGAGAUGUGAUGACGAACCACCAAGGUGGUGAAGCAAUUGAUGCCCCGCUUCCAGGAAAAGCCUCUAAGCUUCAGGUUACCAACAAUCGUACCCCAAACCGACACAGGUGGUCAGGUAGAGAAUACUCAGGCGCUUGAGAGAACUCGGGUGAAGGAACUAGGCAAAAUGGUGCCGUAACUUCGGGAGAAGGCACGCUGGCGGUAGGUAAAGUCCCUCGCGGACGGCGCUGAAGCCAGUCGAAGAUACCAGCUGGCUGCAACUGUUUAUUAAAAACACAGCACUGUGCAAACACGAAAGUGGACGUAUACGGUGUGACGCCUGCCCGGUGCUGGAAGGUUAAUUGAUGGGGUUAGCGCAAGCGAAGCUCCUGAUCGAAGCCCCAGUAAACGGCGGCCGUAACUAUAACGGUCCUAAGGUAGCGAAAUUCCUUGUCGGGUAAGUUCCGACCUGCACGAAUGGCGUAAUGAUGGCCAGGCUGUCUCCACCCGAGACUCAGUGAAAUUGAACUCGCUGUGAAGAUGCAGUGUACCCGCGGCAAGACGGAAAGACCCCGUGAACCUUUACUAUAGCUUGACACUGAACAUUGAGCCUUGAUGUGUAGGAUAGGUGGGAGGCUUUGAAGUGUGGACGCCAGUCUGCAUGGAGCCAACCUUGAAAUACCACCCUUUAACGUUUGAUGUUCUAACCUAGGCCCAUAAACUGGGUCGGGGACCGUGUCUGGUGGGUAGUUUGACUGGGGCGGUCUCCUCCUAAAGAGUAACGGAGGAGCACGAAGGUUGGCUAAGCAUGGUCGGACAUCAUGCGGUUAGUGCAAAGGCAUAAGCCAGCUUGACUGCGAGAGUGACGGCUCGAGCAGGUACGAAAGUAGGUCUUAGUGAUCCGGUGGUUCUGAAUGGAAGGGCCAUCGCUCAACGGAUAAAAGGUACUCCGGGGAUAACAGGCUGAUACCGCCCAAGAGUUCAUAUCGACGGCGGUGUUUGGCACCUCGAUGUCGGCUCAUCACAUCCUGGGGCUGAAGUAGGUCCCAAGGGUAUGGCUGUUCGCCAUUUAAAGUGGUACGCGAGCUGGGUUUAGAACGUCGUGAGACAGUUCGGUCCCUAUCUGCCGUGGGCGUUGGAAGAUUGAGAGGGGUUGCUCCUAGUACGAGAGGACCGGAGUGAACGCACCACUGGUGUUCGGGUUGUCAUGCCAAUGGCAUUGCCCGGUAGCUAAGUGCGGAAGAGAUAACCGCUGAAAGCAUCUAAGCGGGAAACUUGCCUCGAGAUGAGUCUUCCCUGUCGCUUUAAGCGACCUAAAGGAACGUUUAAGACUAAGACGUUGAUAGGCUGGGUGUGUAAGCGUAGCGAUACGUUGAGCUAACCAGUACUAAUGAACCGUGAGGCUUAACCUG
rnacentral:rRNA from 1 species